UUCCUGUACACUCACUCCCCCUGAGCAUACGGAUUCUCUGGACAUGGCCAAUGACAGAGGGCACUAAAGUAAUAACCACUGUCUUCAGUAUUGCUUCGUACGGAGUCUGGUGAUUCCCUGUAAUCCAUUCUCUGAGAUCCUCAGGAUUCUGACUUUGAAGACAACACACGGAAGUAAAAGCAAUUACAAUGUAGCAGCCUCUUCAGUUUCCUGGCAAGUCUAAAAUCCUUCCUUCUCUCACUUGAAGAAGACUACUUGCCUUGGGAUCACUGGGUGUAAAUUUCUACUAUGAAUCUGGAGCAGACAUAUGGCACUAGCUAUGCAGGUGUCUGGACUGCCUGAUGAAGCCCAAUGGAUCGUGACUGAUAUCUUGAUCGUGCAAUUCAGUCUCUGCCCUGAAGAAACAGAUGAACUGUGCAAUUCAUUGUCCUUGAACAGUUUGAACAAGAGUCCAAAAGUCUGGAAGUUUUUGGUCUCAGCUUAUUGAGACAAUUCUCACUCUGACUGAUAUCGGGAAAGGAUUCAGAAAUCUAACUACUAGUGGCUUCUUUUUCUGACUCCAUCCAAAAAUAUGAGAUUUCCUCCAAGAAUGCAUUGGUUUACUGUUGGAAGUCAGAAAAAAAGGGAAACACACUUCUUAGGAUGUUUUACAGAAAUUGCUCUGCAGAUCAGACGGGCAAGCUAUUUCAAAAAAAAAAAAAAUAGAUUGAAGUUUUAAGUUGCCUUGGAGAAUACAUAUUUUAAACGUUUAAACAUGAUGUUACCAUGCUGCAUAUGGGGAAUUAAAAGUAGUUAGAGAUUCUACAAAGCUAGAAAGUAAUGGCACAAUAAAAUAUAAACCACAAUAUUAUUUCUGAAAUAA
rnacentral:lncRNA from 1 species